AGGUUCGUGCGAGUGGGCGUGGUC
rnacentral:siRNA from 1 species